GCGUGCCUGAAGGCGUGCCUGUGAGAGAUGGAGGGCCCGAGUCGGCCCGGGCCCCUGGACUGGGGAUAGAAGGCACAGUCCACAGCUAGAGGAGAGGGGCUGCGUCUAUAGCUAAGGCCGGGCGUGGGGGGUCUAGAGCCAGAUGUGGGGGGUCUACAGCCAGAUGUGGGGG